UCCGUAGGUGAACCUGCGGAAGGAUCAUUAAAGAAUCGCCCCGUUUUUUGAAAUGGGUUCUAUUCCCAAACCGUGUAUACAUACCUUUGUUGCUUUGGCAGGCCGCCUUUUAGGCGUCGGCUCCGGCUGACUGCGCCUGCCAGAGGACCCAAACUCGUUUGUUUAGUGAUGUCUGAGUACUAUAUAAUAGUUAAAACUUUCAACAACGGAUCUCUUGGUUCUGGUAUCGAUGAAGAACGCAGCGAAAUGCGAUAAGUAAUGUGAAUUGCAGAAUUCAGUGAAUCAUCGAAUCUUUGAACGCACAUUGCGCCCCUUGGUAUUCCGAGGGGCAUGCCUGUUCGAGCGUCAUUAUAACCACUCAAGCCUCGGCUUGGUCUUGGGGUUCGCGGUCUCGCGUCCCUUAAAAUCAGUGGCGGUGCCGUCUGGCUCUAAGCGUAGUAAUUCUCUCGCUAUAGGGUCCCGGCGGUUGCCUGCCAGAACCCCCCAUUUUUUACGGUUGACCUCGGAUCAGGUAGGGAUACCCGCUGAACUUAAGCAUAUC
rnacentral:rRNA from 1 species